CCCUCCCCCAUCAACGCCCCCCACCCCACCCCCUUCCACCUCGGAUGAAAACUCGGAGCCGCCGCGACUCAGAGGCGAUUGCGCGGGCGACUUCGAGUCGAGCGCCACUGCGAGUCGCAUCGGGGGGGGGGGGGGGGCGAUCCGACUGAGUUGACGCGACUGGAGAACAACGCUCCUGCACGGCAUUGUCCACUCAUGGGUGUCGUCCACCUACCGACGUCUACCCCACAAGUCCCGUCCACCUACCGGCGUCAUCCCACCAGCCCUGCCCCCAUCUACCGGCGUCAUCCCACCAGCCCUGCCCAUCUACCGGCGUUCUCCUGAUCAGCGGCGACCUCAACCCGGGAUCCAACUCCACUCCGGGGACGCGAGGACGACGAGGCCACACAGUGUUAUUGACGAACGUGCUGGUGAUACUAUUUGACGAAUCCAUCCAUUGGCUCUCCAACGGCUUCAGCGUCACACUCCACGGCAGGCGCAUCACGUGGUUCACUGAUGGACGCGAUUCGUAUUCUACACAAUCCAUGGUUCCAGAGGCGAAUCUCCCCCCCACCCCCUCGUCGACGUCCUGGAAGGAUUGUGGCAGAGCGACUUCUUCAUUCGGGAAUGAAUCUACGGUGAGUGACGUGCGCCGCUACAAUUCCCCGGGCUCAGAGGCGGGCUAUGAAGAGGGGCCGUUGCCCGAAACGUCUCCAAUUUAAUUAAUUUAGUUUAUUUUAAGGCCACGGUCUUGUCGACGAGUGCGUUAAUUUUUUAUUGGGGUGUGGGUUUUGGUGAGCAAUUAGCGAUUUAAAAAAAUAUGUCGACGUGUUAAAAGCGCAUUAAAAUAAUCUCCAUUGAUCACUCACGGAGACCCCAUUGAUCACUCACGGAGACCCCAUUGAUCACUCACGGAGACCCCAUUGAUCACUCACGGAGACCCCAUUGAUCACUCACGGAGACCCCAUUGAUCACUCACGGAGACCCCAUUGAUCACUCACGGAGACCCCAUUGAGUCUCACGACUCCUUGUCAGGAGGGUGCUGCCACAUUGGGGAUGUGUGGCCACGAAUUCCACUCGUGAUAAUUUGCUGGCUUCGUGUGGAUCUAUGGGUCCCUGUGUGAGUCUGUGGGUCUCUGUGCGAGUCUGUGGGUCUCUGUGUGAGUCUGUGGGUCUCUGUGCGAGUCUGUGGGUCUCUGUGCGAGUCUGUGGGUCUCUGUGUGAGUCUGCGGGUCUCUGUGCGAGUCUGUGGGUCUCUGUGCGAGUCUGUGGGUCUCUGUGCGAGUCUGUGGGUCUCUGUGUGAGUCUGUGUGUAUCUAUAUUUGGUCUGUGGAUCUUUGUGUGAGUCUGUGAGUAAUUGUGUGAGUCUGUGGGUCUCUGUGUUAAGUCUGUGGGUCUCUGUGUGAGUGUGUUUGUCUCUGUGUGAGUCUGUGUGUCUCUUUGUUAGGUCUGUGGAUCUGUGUGAGUCUGACGGCUCUCUCUGUGUUAAGUCUGUGAGUUUCUGUGUGAGUGUGUCUGUCCCUGCGUGAGUCUGUGGGUCUCUGUGUGAGUCUGUGGGUCUCUGUGUGAGCCUGUGGGUCUCUAUGAAUUCCACUCACGACACUUUGGUGGCUUCGUGCGUUGGGGAGAAUGCUCAGACAACCCACGACGCGCGACGGCUCCAGUCGCCCCACAGAUGGAUUCAAUCGGGGUUAGCUUCCGAGAUCCGACGGUAGCGGGCACGUUUGGCUCCACGAUUUGAUUCGCCCGGUGGGAAGGUUGCGCAAACUUUGACCGGUUUCCCCAAAUCGGAGUCACCUCCCGACAGCGGCCUCUUGCGGCGUCCGUGCGAUCUGAUUCGUCGGCGCUGAUUUCACAGCCGCGUUCCCGAUCGUUUGAGCGAGCGACUUACGCAGCGGUGCACGAAGCACGAUGAACAACACACGAACCAAACUCACAAACGUUCGUUAGUUACAGUGUGUGGCCCUAAAAACAGUAAAUAUAUAUGAUAGGCGACGUUUCGGGCAAUGUCCCUUCUUCACAGCAGAUACAUAGAGUGGUGGGUCGAGAGACGGAGUGGGUGGCAAUAGUUUGCGACUGCACGUGCUCACAACAUUGGGCCCUGGCGAUGCGAAUCACAUUGCUACAAAUGUGUUCUGAUGACCCGGUGUUUAAAUAGACUUGCGAAAAGUUAAGAGUGAUGCAGCAGUGGCUAUUGGGUAACAGAAAAACCCUUCAAUAAUCAAAACUGAUUACUUUACGAAAUACAAGCAUUUGUAGAGUUUCUGGCACAUUGCAUUGAUUUUUCGAUCCACAGUUAAGCAAUCAAAUCGCCCUGACGCAAGUAAAAAUAAGCGGUUGUCUUAGUUUAGCAGCACAAUCGCUUUCUAUAAUAGUUUGCCACUCAAUCGCCCGCAACUGCUUUGUCCACCCCUUAGCGAGUGGUUGCGCAUUGAGGCCGUUACACUGCGGGUCCAGGAUCGUCACGGCCAAUCAGACACAAUGGGUCGCUAAAUUACGCGCGAUGAAAGACGCUGCUGUUAAUCGGUCGCGUCUUCAUCGUCACCGUCAUCAUCAUCGUCAGCCCACUGCUGGACCGCGUUAGGUGGCGGCACGUGAUGGAGGGAAGCCUUCAUACAGCAGUGGAUAGACAACGGCUCAGGUAGACAAAGUGCAGGUCUCGGACGUCUCGUUCUGACGUUGUGGGGAUAUUAAUGGCGUUCGCGUGGGGCUCACGACGUUCAGCGUUUGGAGAUGCAAUUUGCACGAAGGACGCGAAAUGAAAACUAAAUAAUUAUUAUUGAUAAUUAUAAUAUUGAGGCCGUCUGUUGGCCGAAAUGGAGAACCCGAUCGAUUACUCUGCCAAUUGAAGUAUUGAUUGCGUCUAAAAGUAAAUUUAAAAAAGAAAGAUGCCUUUUAAAAUGACGAGACGUUCAAAGUGUCGAUCGGAUUGCGAUGGUGUCACGUUGGCGAGGCGGCGAGACGACGCGGGGGGGGGGGGGGGGAAGACUUCGUGGCAGGCGAUCGAAGAUGCCGGCUCCGACACGCACAGCUUGUGAGCGAUUGUGAGCGAGAGAUUCGCGCCGUGAAGAACAACAACAACGUCAAUGACAUCGUCCGUCCUGCACACUCAGCGUGGGCUGUCUGUUCGAUAAUCGUAAUCGAUGUCGUCGUGUGAUUAAUUGAUAUGUCGACGAUCUGUCCCGCCACUCGAGAAUAGAUUAGUAAAUACUUUUUUCAAAUUUUCUUGCUGUGGAUUUCACACCUGAUGAUGAUUGCUUGUGUUGCAGUCGAAACGUCGUGAGAAUUUUUAUUGUUUUAUAUUUGUGUUAUUUUGUUAUUUCCCUUCUACGUGACUUUACCGAAAGAAGCAAGAAUAUAGAUACAGCUGUUGUUUAAGCAACCUAUUGUUACCAGUGUUUACGUGUUAUUGGUUCUUCCGGUAAAGUCGCGUAGAAGGGAAAUAAUAAAACAAUACAAAUUUAACGUAAUAAAUUAAAAUUCUCACGACGUUUCGGCCACAACAAAAGCAGCCGUCCUCAGGUGAAGAAACAGAGCUGUCGGAAAGACAGCGUCCCAAUGAGUGGCUGUGAAUAUUAUAGUUAAGUUGCUUUGCGGGCGAAUGUGGUGGGAUUCCUCAACUACAGACGAGAGCAGUGGGAUAAUCACAAUCCCUAUCGCCUCCAACGCAGCAGCGUUCAAUAAUCAAUUACUCAGUUCGCUUUAAUCAGUUACGCACACACUCACUAUUGUAUUGUUACGCGGGCGCAGAAGUUAAAUUAUAUAUUUCUAUUUAAAGCUUUCGUGACUGCAGGGAUUCAUCGUAUUGGUUCUUUCGGUAAAGUCACGUAGAAUGGAAAUAAUAUUAUGUUUUAUUUUUUAUUAUUUUAUUAUUUCCAUUAUACGUGACUUUACCGAAAGAACCAAGAAGUUCAAAUAUAUGUUUAACAUUUACAGCCGCCUUGCCAAUCCACUGCUGGAUGAAGGCCUCUCACCAACGGCCCGUGUCGGUCGUGGGGGUUGUUUGACCACGCUGGUCAGUGCGUGUUGGUGACGGGGGGCUGCAGUGGGGAACUGGUAUUUUGUUUUGAAGAGGGGCCUUUGCACCGAAACGUCGAAUGUGUUUGUGUUUAUGCGGCCGCUAAUCGGUUGGUAUGUAAACAUGUAUGUUUGUAUGCUUUUUACAUGAGAAAAAAACCAUUCAGUAAUAAAGGAUAAUAAAAUAUAAAUAAUGGAAAAUAA